rnacentral:tRNA from 1 species
GUUUCUUAAGUAUAACAUCGUACAUUUGCCUUCCAAGCAAAAAGACUUUAAUAAGAAGAGGUA